rnacentral:tRNA from 1 species
GGGGCUGUAGCUCAGUGGUAGAGUGCUUGCCUAGCAUGCAUGAGGCACUGGGUUCAAUCCUCAGCACCA